AUGCACAUUCCUACAAUGCUAAUGCACCAUAUCCCAUUAGAAUUUCACAAUUAAGUGUUCUUUGGCUAGAUUAAUACUAAUAUGGGUGAUGUCUCGGGGAAUCCUAGUGUUUUACAUU
rnacentral:rRNA from 1 species